rnacentral:rRNA from 1 species
UACGUAGGGGGCAAGCGUUGUCCGGAUUCAUUGGGCGUAAAGAGCUCGUAGGCGGCUUGGCAAGUCGGGUGUGAAAACUCCAGGCUCAACCUGGAGACGCCACCCGAUACUGCCAUGGCUUGAGUCCGGUAGGGGACCACGGAAUUCCUGGUGUAGCGGUGAAAUGCGCAGAUAUCAGGAAGAACACCCGUGGCUAAGGCGGUUCUCUAGUACGGUACUGACGCUGAGACGCGAAAGCGUGGGGAGCGAACAGG